AACUGUCCUAUUUAGUUGGCUUAAGUCGGUCCAAAUGUGUAAAAAAACAUACUUUAUAUAUAUAUAUAUAAAACACCUAGAUUUGGUCCCCUUCAACCAGCUGUGUACGGACGGGCAU
rnacentral:pre_miRNA from 1 species